CUCACAGCAAGGUUUGGACGAAUAACAGUUCUUUAUUAGCAAAAUAUGACUUCUUAUAAAAACAUACAAUUACAGAUAAAAAAAAGUUUAUUCAUAUUUGAAUGUAAAAAGCAAAAAUACAACUUGAAUUCCAGAGAAGUAGGAACAGUCUGUUAAUUUGAACAAAAUGAAAACUAAGACUUUCAAAAAGCAUGAGCCAAUAUUUCAUUCACAACAGAACAUGAAUAACACUCUGUGUUGGACACUUUUGUUUAUGUAAGAUUGUAUUAUAUUGCAAUGUGUUGUAUAUAAGAUUGUUGUAUUUCUAUCUUUUUAUCUUGAGGGCUGCAAUUUGAAAUUCCUGUGUAUGCUCUGUGCAUAUGGUUUUUGACAACAAAGCUGACUUUGAUAACAUAAUAAAAGUUUAAACUGAGAUUUUACUUUCAGGCACUAAAUGAGCUCAUUUCAAAUUAGAUGCUUGCUCCAGGUCUCAGAGUAGUUGAAACAGGGGCCUGUUUACCAAGGUGUAGCAUCUCCUCAUCUUUUCAAACCAGUGUGAAGACGUCUGAGCAUUGAAGUUAUGACUUUCUGGAGUUUUGGUUUGGAAAUUCAUGUCCAAUUCUUGCCUGAUAUAGGUUUUCAUCUGCCGAAGAGUUUGUGCAUUUAAUUAAUUAUGCGUCUGUAAUGUUCUCUAUAGGUGAAAGACUGGCAAAUACAAACGGCCUUCCCUGAACUAGACAUCAUCUGAAGGGUAGCAUAUGUUGCUCUAAAACCUUUAUAGCACUUUUAGCAUUCAUAGUUCUUUCCAAACAUAUAAGCUGCCCAUAAUGUAUUUACUCAUGCUCCUCCAUAUCAUCAAAGAUGCUGGGCUCAUUUCGUGCAUUAAAUUGUAAAACUUCUCAGUUUUAACAUUUCUUAUGUUAAUUACGUUCUGUUUUUAAUAAGUUAUUGGCUCAUAUCAAGUGUUGUUCAAAUUUAUGAAACGUCACAACUUUUCUGGAAUUCAAGUUGUAUAAAGAACAACAAAUUGGAGGCUGAGAGGAACGGAAAACCUAAUAUAAAAAAUAAAAAUCUAUAAAAAACUAAUAUAAUAUUAGGAUAAUGAUUUUGUAUUAUACAGUGAAUUCAUUAAUUGAUUUACAAAGUUCCUUCUUAGCGUAAACAAAUCCUAUGGAAACUGAAGAUGAACAAACAAUGUAGUUCACAGAGUCUCUGACAGACAGCACAGAGACUAACACAGUCUGAACAGGUUUGAUGAUAGUCAGAGAAAUUUGACAUCAAAGCAACUCUGACCCAUGAAUUGAUGAUGAACAUUGAAUGCGUCCAGAGUUCAGAUGGAAAAAGUUCUGAGAGGUUUCAAAGCUUUUGUAGUUCAGCAGGAGGCUGGUACGGAUCCUGUCUCUGAUAUUCUCUAAAAUGCAAAAGUAACAGCAACAACAAAAAGCAGACCUAAAACUAGCACACCGCCUUUCAGUCCAACAGAUCUUCCUCGCUGACCUGCAGGUGAGAAACAGGUGUGAGGUGUCAGCUGUCAGGUAGGUGAUGAGUGAAGAACAGAACAGAAUCCAUUUCCUCUUCAAACUGCUGUCAGACAUUAUCUACUGCACUCUGAUCACAUCACUCAGACCAGCUGCUUUCUACAAAGUCUCAUCAAC
ensembl:lncRNA